UAUUUAGCAUAGCAGACACAUGGAGACAAUAUUGAAAACAAUGUGUUCAUUUCCCAGCUGUUGCUGUGGUCUGCUGGUCGCCUGCGGAGCUGGCAGCAGAGUCAGACAGUGAGGAGGCUGGGGGGGAAAUGGGCCAGUCCUGGAGUCUGGGGAAGACUCAGAUAAGAGCUCUACAUUGGGGGCAGAGAUGGGGCCAGGGCCAGCUGGGAGUUAUAUGCUGACUCUGGAGUCUCCAGAGUCUGACGUCAGCGAGGCAGAGGAACAGGGAGAGCCUAUUCCCAGUGCGCACAUGUGCAGAACUGCCAGAAGGAAGCCUAGGUCAGAACAGCUGUGUGUUUUCUGGUAUUGUGAUUCCGCCUUGCUUUGGAUUGAACCUGUGCCUUGACUUGAAAACUCUGUGUGAGAGGAAUUUAUCAAUCCAAUUAUCAGGAACUCUGGAUGAAUGCCAUUGAAGCCUGGUUUUUUAUCAUGUUUCAGACUACCAGAAGCAGUGUCAAUUUUCUUUAUAUAGAAGGGACAAUAAUACUCAGAAAGCAUUUGGCCUGACUUGUUGGAAUACUCUCUUUUAAAUCCUUGAGCUUGCUUUUUGUAAAGGUUUUGUGCAAAGAAAAAAACAGAAGAUGACAAUCUGCAAUGAUUUCUAGAAAAGGUAUCCAAAAAAAUUACUUAUCACUGAUAAAGACUUUGAUUUGUAUGAUCAGUACAACAAUGGCUAAGUCAAAAU